UAGUUUAAAACUGAAACUCUGGAUUCUUAACAAACAGAAAAUGAAGUGCAAAGUAUGAUGUCAUUCUAAUAGCCCAAGUUUCUAAGAGGUUUGGAACGUAUGUCAUAAUGGAUCAGAGCAUAUGUAUGGGAUUAUCUUUUUAGGCCUAAAUAACUUCUUUUUUUACUUUUGUUCUUUUAAUGAGCAAAAGGAACUAAGCAUUUACUACAUAAUGUAUUAUUAAAGUACAAACCUGACCCCAAUUUAUAUUAAAGACAAAUAGACAAACAAAUCAAAACAACAUAUGGGCUGAAUAUAUGAUCAAGUAAACAACUAACCUUGAUUGUGGAUCCCCCAAUACUCCCCUAGGCAUGCUUUCACACCUGCAUGCUCCGUGCAUCGGCCUGUGGGCUCCCCAUUCGACUCGUCUUGAAACACGGACCAAGGAGUUUGACAUGCAUGUGAGUCAACGGACGAGUAAACCCGUAAGGCACAAGGAAGAUGAUUGGCGGGAUUCCCUCGUGGGUUGCACCGCCGACCGACCUAGAUCUUUUGAGAAGGGUUUGAGUGAGAGAAUACCUGUCGGGACCCGAAAGAUGGUGAACUAUGAGGCGAAGCCAGAGGAAACUUUGGUGGAGGCCCACAGCAAUACUGACGUGAAAUCGUCAUCUGAUUUGGGUAUAGGGGCAAAAGACUAAUCAAAUCGUCUAGUAGCUGGUUCCUCUAAAGUUUCCCUCAGGAUAGCUGGAGCCCAGGUGCGAGUUCUAUCAGGUAAAGCCAAUGAUUAGAGACAUCAGGGCACAACGCCCUCGACCUAUUCUCAAAUUUUAACUAGGUAGGACGGUGCAACUGCUCUAUUGAGCCAUGCCACAGAACCGAGAGCUCCAAGUGGGCCAUUUUUGUUAAGCAAAACUAGUGAUGCAAGAUGAACCAAAAGUUGGGUUACACGCUAACCUAGAACCCACAAAGGGUGUUGGUCGAUUAAGAUAGCAGGACGGUAGCCAUGGAAGUCAUAAUCUGCUAAGGAGUGUGCAACUCACCUGCCGACUCAACUAUCCCUGAAAAUGGAUGGCACUAAAGCACGCGACCCAUACUCGGACGUCGGGGUGAUUACCAAGCCCCGAUGAGUAGGAGGGCACAGCGGUAGCCAUAAAACCUAGGGCGUGAGCCUGAGCGGAGCGGCCAUUGGUGCAAAUCUUGGUGAUAGUAGCAAAUAUUCAAAUGAGAACUUUGAAGGCCGAAGAGGGGAAAGGUUCCAUUUGAACAACACUUGCACAUGGGUUAGUCGAUCCUAAGAGACAAGGGAAGCCUGUCAAACAGUGCGAUCAACGCGAGCUUCAAAAGGGAAUCGAGUUAAAAUUCCCGAAUUGGGACGCAACGAUUUACGACAACGUUAGGUACUCCGAAGAUGUCAGUGGAGGCCCCGGGAAGAGUUAUCUUUUUUGUCUAACAGCCUACCCACCCUAGAAUCGACUUAGUCGAAGGUAGGGUCCAGUUGCCGGAAGAGAACCACAUGUCGCGUGGUGACCGGUGUGCCCCCAACAGCCCUUGACCGAGUGUUGAUCGUGCCCGGUCGUACUCAUAACCGCAUCAAGUCUCCAAGGUGAACAACCUUUGGUCAAUGGAACAAUGUAGGCAAGGGAAGUUGGCAAAAUGAAUCUAUAACCUCGGGAAAAGGGUUGGGUUUGAGGGUUGGGCAUGGAAGUCUCGGUCAUGAACCCCUGGCUGUCGGCGAAUUGCUCGAUCUACUCUCACAGCGAGAGCAAGUCACCAUGUGUUGACCGGGGGGCGGACCAGGAACGGCUCCUUUGGGGGCCUUCCCCAAGCAUUGAACAACCGACUCAAAACUAGUACAAACAAGGGGAAUCUGAGUGUUUAAUUGAAAGAAAGCAUUGCAGUGGUCCCUGCAGAUGCUAACGCAAUGUGAUUUCUACCCAUUGCUCUGAAUGUCAAAGUAAAGAAUUCAACCAAGUGCAGGUAAACGACAAGAAUAACUAUGACUCUCUUAAGGUAGCCAAAUGCCUUGUCAUCUAAUUAGUGAUGUGCAUGAAUGGAUUAACGAGAUUUCACUAUCCCUGUCUACUAUCCAGCGAAACCACAACCAAGGGAACGGGCUUGGCAGAAUCAACAGGGAAAGAAGACCCUGUUGAGCUUGACUCUAGUCCGACUUUGUGACUUGAGAGGUGUAGGAUAAGUGGGGCCCUCAGGUACAAGUGCAAUACCACUACUUUCAACGCUAUUUUACUCAUUCCGUUAGUUGGAGGCGGGGCAUCGUCCCUCCUUUUGGACCCAAGGCUCUCGCCUCGGUGGGCCGAUCUAGUCGGACGACAUUGUCGAGUGGGGAGUUUGGCUGGGGCAGCACAUCUGUUAAAAGAUAACGCAGGUGUCCUUAAAUGAGCUCAACGAGAAUAGAAAUCUCAUGUGGAAAAAAAGGGUAAAAGCUCAUUUGAUUCUGAUUUCCAAUAUGAAUAUCAACCGUGAAAGUGCGGCCUAUCGAUCCUUUAGACCUUCGAAAUUUGAAGCUAGAGGUGUCAGAAAAGUUACCAUAGGGAUAACUGCCUUGUGGUAGCCAAGUUUUCAUAGCGACGUUGCUUUUUGUUCAUCCGAUGCCGGCUCUUCCUAUCAUUGCGAAGCAGAAUUCGCCAAGUGUUGGAUUGUUUACCCAUCAAUAGGGAACGUGAGCUGGAUUUAGACCGUCGUGAGACGGGUUAGUUUUACCCUAUUGAUGAUAUUGUCAUGAUAGUAAUUCAACCUAGUACAAGAGGAACUGUUGAUUCACACAAUUGGUCAUCGCACUUGGUUGAAAAGCUAGUGGCGCGAAGCUACUAUGUGCCGGUUUAUGACUAAAUGCCUCUAAGUCAUAAUCCUGGCUAAACACGCAAUGCGUGCGCGAACCUUAACCUUUUCCCUUGCAAACUAUCAAGAAGCAAAUUUUGUGAUCUUGAAAUUUGAACAAGCUCUUCAUUCUGGAUGCCAAAGAUAUAGCUUUCCUA
rnacentral:rRNA from 1 species